UACGAAGGGGGCUAGCGUUGCUCGGAAUCACUGGGCGUAAAGGGCGCGUAGGCGGCCGAUUAAGUCGGGGGUGAAAGCCUGUGGCUCAACCACAGAAUUGCCUUCGAUACUGGUUGGCUUGAGACCGGAAGAGGACAGCGGAACUGCGAGUGUAGAGGUGAAAUUCGUAGAUAUUCGCAAGAACACCAGUGGCGAAGGCGGCUCACUGGCCCGUUACCGACGCUCAGGCGCGACAGCGUGGGGAGCAAACAGG
rnacentral:rRNA from 1 species